UUCCUUUUUUGAGUUUUUUGCUAACUUUGGUGUGUUUUGUGUGUUUGUUGUAGGUGGAACAAGUAAAAAAAAAAAAAAAAAAACAUCAUCCCUGUUUCGAUCUUUCCUCCCCAACCCUGCAUCUUUCACCAUCGUCACCACACAAAUCACCGGCACAUCCCACCCACACCGGAAUCCUUUCCCGGCGCCUGUACACGCACCACCAUCCCCUCUGUUUUUCUCAGCCUCGCACCAUCCAGUGCCCAACCUCUUUUCCCCCGACGCUUCACCCAUCUCAGACGACACCACACCUACGCUUCACCACCAUCAAUCCGCUUCGCCUCUUACGGCUUAGCUUCUUGCCGCUGCUCUGCACCACCAUCAAAUCCGUCGCACAACAGCAGCCAAUCCCCCCUGAUUCUCUCUUCUCGUUUCUCUUUCUUUUCUUUUUAUUUUGUUUUUUCUGUUUUUUUUAUUCCUUUUUUUCUUUUGAAUUCCCUUUUUUUUUUGUUUUUUCUUUUUAAUUAGUCUUCCCACUCUCUUAACACUUCUUUGCAUUUUGAUUAAUGGUGUUAUAGGAUUUAUGCAAGUUAGCAACCAAAUAGUUCAAGUUGGUCUUCCAAGAGUAAUGCUAUGUGAUUGUAAAGCUUAUACGACUCUUCGUUGGGUUGUGGGUGACUUUGGUGUUGGAUGAUUGUUGGGGUUCAACUUUGUUCCUUCUCUAUUUUGGUUCUUGCAGUGAGGACACGGCAAAUUCUAGUUUGGGGGAGUAAUAUUCUAUCUUUUAUUGCUUUUUAGUGUAGACUUCAUUGCUUUUGUAGGAUGUUGCACGGUUUGUACUGCUUAUUAGGAGUGGGAGUUUACGUGUAACCAAAAAAAUUGUACUGCUUUCUUAGUUGCAUCAGCAUAUUUAUCUCAUAUUAGAUUUCAUCUCAUUAGUUGCAUCUAUGGGACUACUGCUAAGACUUUUUGAGAACCUUGUUGAUAUUUUACUACAUUUGUUAAGUGUCACUCAUCUUGUUCAUGAUACUUCAUAGCACGAUUGUUUCGCAACUGAUUGUUUGUGGUAAGAUUGAUUGAUCUCUCUCUGGCUCGAUUUAACAUUACUAUGCAGACACCUUAACCUAAGUGAGCUUUUGUGCCUAUAAACUGACGUAUCUAUGUCAGUAAUAUUUUUUCAUGUGUGAUUAGUUCCUCGUUGUUGCAUUGAUCUUGACUUUGACUUGGUACUCCUUAUAUUUGAUAGUGCAUACAUUUUGAUAUGAUUGAGGCGUUUCAUUUGAUGAUCUUAACUCCAGAGUUAUUUUUGUUUUCAUAUUAUCCUUCCUCUAGCCCCGCUGAGCCUUUUCUGACUUUGUUUGAUUAAUACCUACAUUACAAGCCAUUGGCCUCAUUUGAUUCUUGUCCCAAGCCUAGCUUGGGGGAGCGAGUAUUAGUUUUGGUUUGGUUUGUAUUGAAUUGAAGUGCUCUAUUUGUGGUUUAGAAGAAUGAAAAAUAUGUUUAGUGAGCUUGGAAAUUGAAAUGAAAGUCUGUAAAAAAAAAGGUGAAAAAUGAAAUGAAAAAGAAGUGAAAAAGAGUUGUGAAUAAAGUGAAAUAAAAAGGGUUAUGAUUGAAUUUCUUGAGUGAAAAA